AAUAUCAUUUUCUUCCAACUGGCAGUUGUCAAACUGAUACGAUUAUACUCGAUAUGCGAGAUAUACUCGAAUAUAAUCAAAUACAUUCGAUAUGCUGGAUAUACGCUCGUAUAUCAAGCAUAAAUAAAAUGUAGGGAAUGGCCCUAAUUUAUUUUUUCAUAGAUGAA